rnacentral:lncRNA from 1 species
GCCCUCUUUACCCAUCUGUCUUUUCUGAUUCUGUGGAAUGAGAUGCUGCUGCGCCUGAGGCUUGGUGAGAUCGGCGGCCAUCUUGGCCACAUUUCUCUUAUUCAGUCUGCCUGUGGGGCGCUUCCUGAAACUCACUCCGUUUGGCUUCGGUGCCUCACAGGAGCAGUUCCUCUCCUGUAGCUUUGAACACAUCAGACCACACGUCUUAAAGUGUCCGUUUGAUGAGGGAGCCGUUGGCAUCCUAACAUCUGCAAUCUGCUCGCAGUCCUGUCGACUGGGUACAAUAGGCCCAGUCUGUUUGGCAGGUUCCAUCACCGCCGCCUCCAUUUCCUGGUUGCAGCGACCUGUACAACUGCAGCCAGGCACUUUGUCUCCUGCUAGGCAUUUGGAGGAAUAUGUUUCAGGGUCAUCUGGAGAGCAGGGAGGGCUCAGAACCCUGGGCUCUGUAACUUCCAGAGCCUUCUUUUUUGGGCUAUGUUGAGCCUUGGGUUUCACUGACCCUUGAGUGCUAUUCAAUGGUCCUUCAACACUUGGGAUCAUUGCACUUUGGUUUGUAGGAGAACCAUACACAUUGGCUUUUUCCACAAGCUCCAUGUGUAGGUUGUGGCUAAGUUUGAGCUGCCUUUUCCUCCUGGGAAGAGCUUCAGAGUUCAGCCUCUUUGAUGGAAUGAAUUUAUCCAUUGGUGUGCUGAAAACUUGCUUAUGCUCUGCAGUGCCUAGUUGGAGCUUUCUGUAGUACAUUUUUUCCAUGUCGGCCAGCAAACAGGAAGAGGGAACAUAAGGGGGAAGUGUGUCUAUCGAUGACAGGGACAACCUUUGACUUAUCUCGGUUAUAGCCAACAGCUGACUAGCUGUGUGGCCUCGACUGACAUUCGCAUCUGAUACUUUCGCAGUCGACACUUCAUGAUCCAAAAGCCCAUUCUGUAUCAGCCACUCUGUGGAGGGGACAUACGGCGCCAAAGACUGCACUGACCAAUCAGACACAUUAGCCUUUUGCUGUAUUUGGCUAUAAUGGAAGGACUCUUGGCAUGAAGAAGUAUUCACAUCAGCCAUUUUCUCAGCCUCUUUCACAUUUUCUAAAGUCAGCGAAAACCUCAGACUUCUCCUCCUCUCUGUUAUAGCUAUGACCUGACUGGCUGCGAGGUCUUGACUGACGUUGGGAGGAUCUGCUUCUUUCUCAGUCAACACAAUGCCGUUUUCCAUAAGAAACUCUUUGGAGGGGACAUACGGGGCCAAAGACUGCACUGACCAUACGGACUCAUUCAACUUUUUCGGUCCCUGACUAUAAAAGGACAUCUGGCUUUGAUUAGGAUGAUCAUCUGACACUUUUCCAGACAACUCUUGUGCCACAUCUUCUGGCGCCAUCAGUCCAUUCUGUGUCAUCCACUCUAUAGAGAUGCUACGUGAGUGAAUGGUCUUUGUUCCUGCAGGUGGGUCUUUGCCAGUACCCUGGCUCCUCACCAUCCCCUGGAAUCCAGUUUUGGAGGCAAUGGGCGAAUUAGGUUCUUCUUCUGGGCAGCUCUGUUUCUCUGCAUUGGAGCUUAGAGAUGAGGGGGUGGUAGAGUUGGUGCCUCUUCCAAAGUCUGACCUAGCCAGUGGUCUAGCCAAGGGGGGACCGUCCUUCACCGCUUCAGGUGGUGGUUCAGUCUGUACUUCAGAGUUAACCAUCUCUAUGGGUGUGGCAUUGUGGUAAAACAUUCUGGACAUCCUGCUGUUGUUCUGGUAGGCCAUGGCAGCAGGAGGGAAUUGGUAUCGUCUGUAUUCUGCAGGGUGCAGCUGGGAAUGAGGAAGAACAUAACCUGGAACCUCCAUGUAUGGGUGGGGAAGGAAAGGUGGCAUAACCAUUCCCGGCAUACCGUAACCUAAAUACAAAAUUGGAAGGAAUGAGUGUCAUUGAAUCUUUGAAUUGUAUUGAAUAACAUAUUAAAUACUUUUUUUUUUAAAUGACAGCUGAAAGCAUGGGGUUCUUCAAAUUAUGGAGGUAUACAUUUUGAGCUGUACAAUAACAUGUAGUAGAUCAGAACUAAAAUGUGGUCUACUGAUCAUGAAUAUUACUUCAUACCGCCAGACUGGACAUUACACAGCAUUUAUACUACUGGGUAAGAAAAACAUAUUUAAACUUAGCCAUCCCUGGAAAUCCAGAGCAGGGGUUGUAGGGCAUGGGCCACUGGUAGUGGUAAAAGGGGAGAGGAGGAGGGGGCUGCACAUAGAAGUAGGGUCGAGACUGGUGCACAUGAGGAUGGGGCUGAUGAUCGGUCAGAUGGGGCCCUGAUCCUUCAGGUCCACACACUGGGUGCCAUGUGCCAGGGUUGGGCUGAGGAACUGGCUGGUGUGGCCCAAUGUGCCUUGCUGCCACAUGUGGUCCAUUUUCAAAUUGUGUUGCUGCCAUACCUAAACUAAGGAAAGAAACAGAAAG